rnacentral:rRNA from 1 species
UAAGACGAACCGUGCGAACGUUAUUCGGAAUCAUUGGGCUUAAAGGGCGCGUAGGCGGGCGACCGCGUCGAGUGCUGAAAGCCCCCGGCUCAACCGGGGAACGGGCCUCGAUACGGGUCGCCUCGAGGCGAGGAGGGGGACCUGGAACUUCCGGUGGAGCGGUGAAAUGCGUUGAGAUCGGAAGGAACGCCGACGGCGAAAGCAAGGUCCUGGACUCGUCCUGACGCUGAGGCGCGAAAGCCAGGGGAGCGAACGGGAUUAGAUACCCCGGUAGUCCUGGCCGUAAACGAUGGGCACUGGGUGGCGGGCUCGCCGAUGGGCACGCCAUCGCAGGGAAACCGUGAAGUGCCCCGCCUGGGGAGUAUGGUCGCAAGGCUG